rnacentral:rRNA from 1 species
CCUACGGGAGGCAGCAGUGGGGAAUAUUGGACAAUGGGGGGAACCCUGAUCCAGCGACGCCGCGUGAGUGAAGAAGUAUCUCGGUAUGUAAAGCUCUAUCAGCCGGGAAGAAAGAAAUGACGGUACCUGACUAAGAAGCCCCGGCUAACUACGUGCCAGCAGCCGCGGUAAGACGUAGGGGGCAAGCGUUAUCCGGAUUUACGGGGUGUAAGGGGAGCGUAGACGGCUGAGCAAGUCUGAAGUGAAAGGCGGGGGCCCAACCCCCGGACUGCUUUGGAAACUGUAUAGCUAGAGUGCAGGGGAGGUAAGUGGAAUGCCGAGUGUAGCGGUGAAAUGCGGAGAUAUUAGGAGGAACACCAGUGGCGAAGGCGGCUUACGGGACUGUAACUGACGUUGAGGCUCGAAAGCGUGGGGAGCAAACAGGAUUAGAUACCCGUGUAGUC